rnacentral:rRNA from 1 species
AAUUCGCCCUUGAGCACGUAGGUGGGUUUGUAAGUCAGAUGUGAAAGCCUUCUGUUCAACGGAAGAAUUGCAUCUGAAACUACAAGUCUUGAGUGUAGGAGGGGAGAAUGGAACUUCUGGUGGAGCGGUGAAAUCCGUAGAUAUCAGAAGGAACGCCGGCGGCGAAAGCGAUUCUCUGGCCUAUUACUGACACUCAGUGUGCGAAAGCUAGGGGAGCAAACGGGAUUAGAUACCCCGGUAGUCCUAGCCGUAAACGAUGGGCACUAAGUAGAGGGGAUUACCGACGUUCUCUCUGCCGUAGCUAACGCAUUAAGUGCCCCGCCUGGGGAGUACGGCCGCAAGGCUAAAACUCAAAAGAAUUGACGGGGGCUCGCACAAGCGGUGGAGCAUGUGGCUUAAUUCGAUGCAACGCGAAGAACCUUACCGGGGCUUGACAUGGUAGAAGUAGGAACCCGAAAGGGUAACGAGCGGUAUCCAGUCCGUGACUAUCACAGGUGUUGCAUGGCUGUCGUCAGCUCGUGUCGUGAGACGUUGGGUUAAGUCCCCUAACGAGCGAAACCCUUGUUUUUAGUUACCAGCGGGUUAUGCCGGGUACUCUAGAAAGACUGCCGUCGUCAAGACGGAGGAAGGUGGGGAUGACGUCAAGUCAUCAUGGCCCUUAUGCCCCGGGCUGCACACGUGCUACAAUGGUCGGUACAAACGGAAGCGAAGCCGAGAGGUGAAGCGAAUCCAAGGGCGAAUU